rnacentral:lncRNA from 1 species
CAGCCAGUGUCUUUGGGGAGGCAGGCAAGCUUGUUGUGCCAAAAAAGGUCUUUGUUUUAAAUCAGAUUGGAAGGGGGAGAACACCAUUGUAAAAAAAAUAACUAGUUUUUGCAGGCGACCGGAGGGCUGAGAGGCAGGCAGCAGGCUUGGACAUCAUCACAAGUCGGUGACAGAUGGCAACAUGAGAAGGAGAACGGAAGAUAGGGAUGACUCAAAGAGAAAAACAUCUUUGUGGCAAUCUCUACAGGGUCUACAGCUUUGCCUGCUGUCUGCUGCUGAUGCAUUAGAGCUCCUGCAGAGAGGACCAAUAUCCAGGAGAGCGGAUCACGUGGGAGCGGAUGCUUGGAGUUCCGGAAGUACAGACAGAUGUAUGGAGUGGAAAAGUACCAGUGUUAAAGGUUGUGUCGAUGCUUCCUUCUAAGUGGUUCCUAUGCCGUCUGUUUCUUCUUCACGUGUGCUUCUGGGGCUUAGAGCUGGAAAGGACUUUGUGUUCACACAACAAGGCGUGGCCUUUAUAUUUAUUCUGGAUGCUGCAGAGACAGCACACUCGUGGAGAAGACAACAAUUAGAAGCCUAUGCUCGGAGCAGAGAAGCCUUUUAAAAGCACCUGGAUUUGAGAAUUCCAUCAGGAUACAGGUAUCAAAAGCUGGCUUGAUGUCUGUAGUACAAAGUUAGAAGCUGGAAGGUCAGUCUGGCCAGACCACAUCUGGGCUGGGGGGCUGGGGGGGGGGAGCUCAUGUAUGGCUGCCAUAACAGUGCUAGGAACUGUUCUGAAGAAAAAGGAUAAUGUAUUUAUUACUAUUGAUAUUAUUCUCUUGUUGUGUGAAGUGGGCUUGACAUCGCAGGGUUGCGUAUGAAUAAACUGAGGCCCAGAAAGAUCAUGAUUCCCAGCACUGCAAGCUGUCCUGACCCAAACCCAGUGUAUGGUGCCCAAGUCCACUCUCUUACUCUUUUGCUCGUCUGAGCUCACGUCCAGCUCUGCUCUCUCCUCCCUCUCAGUGCAGAACAGGGACUUUGUGGAUAUCUUGGCUGCCCCACAUCUAUGCUCUGUGUUCUCAGGGUCCUUCUUAUGGAGUGUACUGUAGGUGGCAAAGCACGGGUCUCACUGAAGCCAGGAAAGUGAGCUCGGCAUUGCUUUCAGGCUCCCUUGUUACUGGGGCUCUGCUCUGAUUUCGUUUCUGUUGCUGUGAGAAAGCACUCUGACCAGAAAUACCACAGGGGAGAAGAGGGUAUAUUCUGUUUUGUUUUGUUUUGU